GGAUUGUAGCUCAGUGGUGGAGUGCUUGCCUCGAAUGCGUGAGGCACUGAGUUCAAUCCUCAGCACCA
rnacentral:tRNA from 1 species